rnacentral:rRNA from 1 species
UACGUAGGGUGCAAGCGUUGUCCGGAAUUAUUGGGCGUAAAGAGCUCGUAGGCGGUCUGUCGCGUCGGCUGUGAAAUCCCGGAGCUCAACUCCGGGUCUGCAGUCGAUACGGGCAAACUGGAGUACUGCAGGGGAGACUGGAAUUCCUGGUGUAGCGGUGAAAUGCGUAGAUAUCACUCGGAAGGCCAACGGCGAAGGCAGGUCACUGGUGCGCAACUGACGCUGAGGCACGAAAGCGUGGGGAGCAAACAGG